rnacentral:rRNA from 1 species
AUUGAACGCUGGCGGCAUGCUUUACACAUGCAAGUCGAACGGGGUGGGGGGCAACCCUCAUUCAGUGGCGAACGGGUGAGUAAUGCAUCGGAACGUAUCCCGUAGUGGGGGACAACGCCGCGAAAGCGGCGCUAAUACCGCAUACGCUCUACGGAGGAAAGUGGGGGACCUGAAAGGGCCUCACGCUAUGGGAGCGGCCGAUGUCCGAUUAGCUAGUUGGUGGGGUAAUGGCCCACCAAGGCGACGAUCGGUAGCUGGUCUGAGAGGAUGAUCAGCCACACUGGGACUGAGACACGGCCCAGACUCCUACGGGAGGCAGCAGUGGGGAAUUUUGGACAAUGGGGGCAACCCUGAUCCAGCCAUGCCGCGUGCGGGAAGAAGGCCUUCGGGUUGUAAACCGCUUUUAGUCGGGAAGAAAAGGCAUCUCCUAAUACGGGGUGUUCUUGACGGUACCGGCGGAAUAAGCACCGGCUAACUACGUGCCAGCCGCCGCGGUAAAAC